AAAGAAACAACAGCUCACAUGAAACUUGACCAUUAUCCUGCCUCCCUCUCGAAAUAUCUAGCUUCUGUCACCUCACGCGUACUACACUACAUUUAAAAAGUGAGAAAAAAAUGUUGGCCACAUCUUCACCGCGACAGAUUAGAAAAUGUGAAAGAAUCCUUCUCACAUCUUCUCGCCGGUGUGAACAGAAACAGAGCGAUGCUGCCGAGGAGGACAACGGCUUAGCUGCUGCCGCCGGCUUCUAGCUCCUCCCACCGUCGUUCUACACUUCUCUACCUUUUUCCCUUUUCAUUGCUCACUGCGCCUUCCGUCGUUAGCUGUUUCCGCCGGCCUCUGCCUCCUGGGACCGUCGCUUUCUACAGAAUCGAUCUUCCAGCGACCCAGCCAUAUAGAUGUCCUUGGAAUAAUUGGUGAUGUUUCUGAAAUCAAGACAAUGCAGCUAAGUGCAAAGUCAUCUGUCUACCAAAAAUGUGUUCAUUAAGAAUCUCAGUGAUAACAUGAUUAAAGUUACUCUUUGGGGAAAUCGAGCUUUAGAAUUUUCAUAUGAAAUUGUCUAGGAUCAACAAAAGGAAGAGGCUAAUGUGGUUCUAUUUGUUGGAUGCCUACCAAAAGAAUAUAAAGCAUUUGCAUAUUUAAGUGGUGGUGCAGCUUGCCACUGGUAUUUCAAUCCAUCAAUUACUGAAGCUCACCCAUACUAUGCGAGGUAUGGUAAGAAUUCAUAAUGAAAAUAUAGCGAUCAAACUCCCUCCACUAUCAAAUGAACCAGUGACGUUUCCUGAACUUCCUAAGAGACAACACAAAAACUUGAAAGUGCUAUUCGACUCCGACCCAUUUACAUUACCAGGUUAACGUUGUAAAUGUACUGUCAUGGUGUCACCAUUACCAGAAUACUUGAUGAUGAACCUUGCUGAGAAUACUUGAUGAUCAACCUUGGUGGUACAGAGCAUGUAAUACAUGUGCAAAUAAACGAUCAAUGCAAUCAUCAGUGUCAGCAUGCCGUAAAUGUGGCUUUACAGAUGCUAUUCUCAUGUGCCAAAGGAAUUGUUGGAAAAAUCAUGCACAUCUCAUCUCAUCAGUUACAGGCACGCCACCUAUUCCCCAGAUUUAGCAUCAAUUGUAUCCCUUAAAAUCACUUCUAUUGUUGUGUACAACCAAAUGUCAUGUGUGGAUUUAGAUAAAGAACACUUGAUCAAGUCAGUCAUAGCAUCACAUGGAAGAGAUGUACCCUUGACAUCACCUUGAUUAAAUAUUCCACUAUAUCCAUCAACUCCAACAAAACUACUGUCUUGAUCAAAACAAUCAAUUUCGCCUUCUACAGCAAUGUCAAAACUCUCAACAAGCAUUUCUCAAAGUGGCUUGGCACAAAUCCGUACAGUUCAGUUUUGAAGAAAACGAACCUGACAAUGAAAAAUGUAUGAUCUGAUUAGCUUCAUUUUCACGCAUAUAAUGUGUUGCAGUCCUUUACUUCCAUUGCGAUCUUUUUUUCAAAACAUGGAAAGAACUAAUUUACCAUACACUACAGGAAAGACAUUUAAAGUUUAGAGUUAAGCCUUCGAAACACUGACAAAUGUAUAUAACUUAUAGCUUAUUCUGAAUACAUCAUCCGAAUAUCUUUUGUUUAUGCAUCCUAAUACAUGUACACUUAAGUGCUACCAGAAAUGUAUAUAGCUAUCACU